UGCCGGCACCGCCCCUCGAGCGAGCGCCCCCGGCUCUCCCGCUCUCGCUGGGGGCAGCAGCACCCGUCCAACCCCUCCCGGUGGCGAGACUCCCCCCCACCCGGCCGACUGCGCGGCCGCGGAGGAAGAGGAAGGGCGGCUGCGUAUGCCGGUGCAGCUCUGUUUCCUUCCGGGUUGCAGCCCGCACCUGCCUCUUCCUCCUCCCGCGCCCUGGGCCAUGGGGGCGGCCGCCCAGGAUGGGGCAGCGGCGGCGGUUCCGCUGGAGCCCGGGCGCGGGCCCUCCCUGCCGCGGGGGGCCGGGAGCCCUGCGGCGUCCCAGGACAAGCUCUUCUUAAUCAAAGGUGGAGUUUUUCUAGGUACCGUUGCUACAGCAGGAAUGAUAGCAGGUUUUGGCACCACACUUGCCAUGACAAAAAAGAAGAACCCAGACUGGUUCAGUAAGGGGAUUACUGCAACAGCUGCAUUGCCAGAGAGUGGUUCAUCACUGGCUUUACGAGCCCUCGGAUGGGGCUCACUCUACGCGUGGUGUGGAGUUGGAUUGCUCAGUUUUGCCAUCUGGAAGGCCCUGGGUGUGCACAGUGAAUGAACCAUGACUUAAGAGUCUCUGCAGCUAUAAGUUGGGUAGAACUAUCUGCAUGGUCUUUAGGACUAAGAAUGAAUAGACUUCCUUUACCUUCCAUGGCAAAUUAUUUAUAUAUUCAGCAAAAUGUCUCUCAAAACUGAAAGGAAGAAGAUAUUACUUCACCCUAGUACCAUCAGUACUCUUCUUAUUAAUAUCCUUAUUGAAGUUCUUACUUCUUGUCUACUCUGCUGAUAUGCCCUGUAGGUCACGAUUUGGGUCCCAACAUACAGCACUACACAAUCCCUUAUUCCUUAGUUUCAAUGUUGAUUCUCAAUAGGAGCCAGUAAAGGAAGGCAGAACACCAAAAAGCAUAGCAGAACAUAGGAGGCAUCUACAACACAUUUUCUUUAAACUCAGGUCCUCCUUGUGAGGCCGCAGUGGAAUGGCAGAGAUUGGGGAGGAAGAGUGGGAGUACCAGAUCAUGCUCUCUGCUUGCUGAGCUACAACAGUCCACUCAGUUUACUGUGGUUAUAUCGUCAGCCAGAAUGGUUCAUUUCACACUGCUCUGACGAUUCUUGCUUCCAUUCUGUCACAGUACUUCUGGUGCUACCAAAGGACAGCAGAAUCUGACCCUAGCCUGCAAUUUACAUUAACUGUUUCUCAGUAAGCUUAAUUUUUACUUCCUUGAGAAGUGCUGGCCUAGACCCACAGUUUCCUGGUUUCCCUGGGAGUCUGCUUUCCUUGAGGCUGCCUGACCGGGCAUAUCCACUUCAGCUUGAGAUGGCUGAGCCCCAGGACGUGUCAGAGUCUGAUGGGGGCAUAUGGCUACCUAACAGCAGCGGCUCUUGCAUCAGAAGCACACAGCACACUGCAGGGUAUGUUGGAGAGUCGGGGGUUAUUCCUAGUCAGAAAGCUGCACCUGAUUAUAUUCUGUGUUGUGUUAGCGUUGAAAGGAGGUGGGACAAACUUUAUUUUAAGGGGCUCUUGCAAAUGCCUGUUGUUAUUGGUUUCUGUUGUGGAGUGCUUAUGUUUCACCGUAGCGCAUGGUGUGAACUGCGGGCACUGAAGGAAGCAGGUUUGUGUCAAGAGACUGUGUCUGCACGUGAUUUUGAAAAGCUCUCUCUCUGCUCUCCACUGACGUAUUUGUUGCAUUCACUAUAGACUUUUAAAUUCCUGUUGCAGAAAAGAAACACAUACAAUAGCGUUAGUCAUUAUUGCAGAAAAAAAAAAUUAGCAACUUGUGAAUUUCCCGUCACACAUUUAUUUUCCUGUUUGACUAUGUAUCUGUUAAAAUCAAAUAGAUAUAUAAAUUUUAAUUUGCUGCAGGUACGAAUGGAGAUCUGAAAAAUGCAAUAUUCUGACCAAAGAAAAGAGUUUAAUGAUCAUUAAAAAUCUAUUUCUGGAAUAAAUAAUCUUUGUUGAAACUUUUUGUGUACUAUUUUAACAUAUCACUCACAAUCAAACACUGACUGUAGAAAGACAGUAUUUUUGUGCUUAAACAUCAUCUUCCUGAACAGUUGAGAUGAAAUAAAGGUUAUAAGCUGGCUGGUACAUUAUUAGUUCUGGACUCUUAAACAUAUGCUCAUUUUAAGAUGGGCCUGUUUGUUUAAUUUAUUUUCCUAUUUCUGGUGAACAUUGUGAUACUUUUGAAAAUUCUUGAUUGCUGUCCUGUAAGCAGAGGUAAUAGAUUAACAGUCAGUUAAAAUAUUGAUUUCUAAGAAGACAGAUGCAUAUAUUGUGUCUAAUAAUCAUUAGAUAGGCCCAAAGUAAGGUUUUUUGAGGGGAAACUCUUUACUGAAUUUAUCACUGAGUGAAGUAAUGUUUCUUUCCACAUAAACUGUUCAGACCAUGAAAAACACCAUAGAUUUUACACUAAGCUCGGCAUUUUCAAAUGAACAUUUUAAUUUCAGUUAAACGUUUUAAAAAUGAGCUCUUACAGAUUUGCCUGAAUAAAAACACCUCGAGUCUUCAGUGUGGCUGAGUGCUGCGAGUUCAGUUGCUCUGCAGCACGUGCAGGUUCCAAAUACCUUCAGAAGUUCAAGUCACAAUUUCAAACCUAGCAUCAGGUGUCAACAUUUGAAAGCUAUGAACUUAAGGCAGACUUUAGCCGCUGAAAGUGCUAUACUAUAUGUGACCUGAAGGGAGACUCAACUCAUUUUGAUGCCCCCAAUCUGUGUAAACUUAAUAACUGCAGCUUUGGCAGCUGAACAAAGGGAAGUUCUGCUCAGCUCCUUCAGGUUACUGCCUUUAACAGUAACCUGCUGGCUUUUGCACCUGCUAAUUAGUGAUCUGACCCUGCUGGGCAGCAGCUUCGUUAGCAUAAGAGCUACUGGUAAUAUUGAUAACAUUACUGACAGUCUCUAGAUAUUAAAUUGUUUCUCUUGAUAUUAGAUUGUUAAGUGUAAUAAAAUUCUGAUUGUAAGCACUGUAGAUGUUUCAUCUGGCACAUAAGAAAGUGCUUCUGUCACAUGAGGAAUACAUUAACUUUCUCAAACCCAUUGCGAGCUCUAUCCUUGUGACUAUCUUGUGGGAUCAAAGCAAAUAAAGGAGUGACUUUCCCUUGCAGAGUUUGGAGGGGAGUUCCAAGCCAAGUAGAACUGAGUUGCUAAGUGUUGUUUAGCGCCUCAUGUCACAUCCAGGAGUAAAACACAAGAAGCCACAGUGGAAAACUGGGUUGGCAGGAAUCAUUGGACAGGAAAGCUAUUGAGCCAUUGCACUCCUGACUGCCCAGCCUGUGGAGACAGGUGAGGUCUGUGCAUGCCGGAGCUUGGACUGGCUUUGGAGGGGGAGGAGAGCAAAGCUCGCCAGUGGAUUUGGAGAGGUGCAGUGAAAGGUGUGCUCAGUGCUCUGUGUGCUUUGAACUCGGCUCACGUUAGCCAUGCACGGGUUUGAAACGAUGGGCUUUUCACAGUUGGUUUGGCUGAAUUGGCCUGACCCUUUUGUCAGUGUCAGCCUGUUGUAGCCAUGCUGGUGUCUGCAGGAAGGGGCAGUGAGCAUCUCCCGCACAUCUGGGAGGGCAGAACUAAACCAGCGAGGCGCUGCUGUGAUUUCUGGGGUUCAGAGACAAAACAAACCACCCCGAAACAGUUUGUAUGAUAGGCCAGCGCGGAUCGGUUAUUUAUUGGCCGGCGGGCGGGGGCUCCUCUGCCGCCCCGCAGCGCCACCUGCUGGCGCCGGUGGGAACAGCCGCACAGGCGCGGCGUCCGCGGGAAAAAGCCCCGUUUAUUUUUCUCACUGUCAAAAUGCGCGGUUUAUAUCGUUUUAUAGCGACCCGUAUUUCUAAAGAAGCAUUGCAGUAGUAGCAAAUGGUGUUGCUGUUAGUUAGAGCCCAGAAGAGUGGUUUCGCUUGGUGUCGUUGCCGAAAUGCUAUGAUUUGUAAUGUUCAGGGGUGUGUUUCCUUUGGCCAUAAAUUGAAUGAUUGAUAAAAAUAUGUAUUACACUAAGCUUUGUGACUGUUUAAGUUAUCUUGUCAUCACUUACGAAGUCAGAGAUGAAGCGACAAGAGCAAAUUGCAAAUGAAGCAAUUGCAAAGGAGUGCAGAGAUGAAGCAAAGAGCAAACUCCUUGUUGAGUUACAACUGCUGUAAUUAAUCUGUGUCCAUCAUUCUGAAGCAGUGUCACAGUUGCUCAGCAGUUUGUGUUGUGGAAGGAAACUGAAGCCACAGUUCAGGAUGCCCCGUCCUUACGCCUUCAGAGACAGCCUGUGUUUCCCAUAGAAGCAGGUCGUUGCUGAGAUCUCUUCCAGACACUGAGGUGAUGCACCAGCUUUGGUGAUACUAGAUUUUUAUUUAAUCUUUGGGGUUUAUUGGUUCUUAAAACAGUGCAGUGGCAGUGCCUACCUCUAGCUCUUAAAUGGUUUUGUUGUUAAAGGUGGUUCCCUGUAGCUUUACAGUCUGCUGCUUUCUGUGACAGCAUGAAGACCCUGGGGUGAUAGUAAGUAACUGAUCUGUAUAUCUUGGUAAGGGACAUACAAGAUUUUAUGCUGUCUCAGGUUGUGUUGUUAAUAUCCCCUGACUGCAGUUACUACUGUUGUAAUCUAAGAACAGGCUGCUAAGUAAUAAACCCUACUAAAUUCCAGUCAACUCUUAUUCUUAAAUGGAAAAGUGAUGGAUCAGUGAGAACUCGGUUUGAUAAUGGUGUAAGUUUUAUUUUUCAAUAAUGUAAAAGAGAAAUCUUCAUUUUCAGAACCUAGAAGAUGGUGGUUAUCUAGUUUUAUAUUGUAACUCUUGCAGAAAAUAACCAGCAGUCAGUAAGAGUCAGAAUUUUUUAACUUGCUUCCUGCAAUCUCUUAUGAAAAUAUUUAAAGUCAGUCCACUUUUGAUUACCUCUGGGCAUAGAAGCUCUGUCUAUAUUAGCAAGUAUCAUCAACCAGCAGCACUGGAGCAGUGAAGCAACUGAGGGCUGAGGACCUGACUUCUACAACCAUUCUGGGGGAUUUAAAAAAUGUGGACUGACUCUGGCCUUUCCCCAUGGCUCGAAUCACAGAAUCAAUGUUAGGGAUUGGAAGGGACCUCAAAAGAUCAUCUAGUCCAAUCCCCCUGCCAGAGCAGGAACACUUAGAUGAGGUUACUCAGGAAGGUGCCUGUUUGCAGUUGGAAUAUGUUGUGUCUUCCCCUAGAAUGCUUAUUCAGUUUUGUGUCGCCCUGAAGAAACCCAGUUCAUGCAUUUUGAGACUGUUCAUCAGUGCACAAGCUGUUGCCCAGCAAGAACCUGAACCCCAGUGCUCAUCCAGACACACCACAGCCGUCCUCCCUGAGGCACUGCACAGAACGGAGGGGCAUGGGCAAUGUGAAACACAAGCUUAAUGAUUGACAACUGGCUGGAAACAAAAUGGCACCUUUAUUAGCAAGUAUAUUUGCUGUUUGACAAAUUCCCCAUCAUCUGCCAUGGCAUUAUCUUACAGGGCUUUGAGCUUGUAGCCUCAGAACCCUGUUGCACCCACUCCUGGUGCAGUGGGCUGGCUGUUUUCUGAUGCAGAACACUGAGGUAUUGAAGUAAAUUUUGUAGAAAAGAAGAAGUUUGGCCAAUUUAUAAUUUAAUUUUUUAGGUUGAAUAGUAGUUGAAACAUCAUAUUUCAGUAUUUUCCAUAUGAAAUGCUCAGAGAAGUUUUAAAUUUUCAAUUUAUGAAUAAAUGGUCUUUCUCUGAGUAAAAUAGGUUUUAAGUAAAAAAUUUGAAAUUAUCUUAAAACCCCUGUUGUUACAGUUGACCUAAAAAAGUAUUUUCGUGAGAAUUUAAAAAAAUUAAGCCUUCCUUAUUUUAUUUAUCAGGUGUUAUGAUCCACCACACCUUUUUGUUGCUUGCAAAAAUGUUAGUUUCACAGUUUUCUAGAACUUACAGUUGAAUUGUAAACCCUUGUUUUAAAUAAGCAGGUUGUCAUUUUUGAUUAAAGUUGCAGCUAUAGAAUACUUGACAGGAAUUAAAACAUACCUAUGAAUGUCUGAUGUUUGGGUUUUUUAAAAAGAAACUCUGAGUGAUUGUGAGCCUUCUUUUAAAAGCAGAACGACACCCUCAGCCCUUGUAGUGUGCAACAAUUAAAAACCAAGAUAAAUUCUGUUUUAAGAGCCCUUUUGCUCUUCAUGCCCUCAAUAAAUGAGGUUUUAUUUCCUCAGAAAUAAAAGCAUUUUUUCUCCCAUAGGAAGAGGGCCAGGAUGAUUCAUAUAUAGGUUUGUGUGAUUGUUGCUUCCACAUCUGUUCCAUGGAAAGCUGGGAAAAUAGUGAGAAGAACUGCCUAGCAAUUUCUGAGUAAUAUAAUUAUAAAAUAUUAGUUUAUCAUUUUUAUGGUGACUCCUAAUGAAAUAUCCUGGUUUGCAUUGAUCUUAACCUUUAAAAUAUUAACAGUUGGAAACAAUUGCACAGCUGUGAAGAGACAUCUAAAACAAUUAAAAGCAAUACAGAGAAUAUAUACUUGCCUUGGUUUUGUUGGUAAGGACAUUUCCUAGGCGGGCUGCUUUUCUCUAGAGGAAAUCUAACCUCUAAAUCACCAUUCUAAGCAUAAAAAUAAUAACAUCCCCUGCUUAUUUUGAGAUAUAUUUGAAAUAAUUUUGUGAGGCUAUAGUCAUAGGUACAGUAUAAAUGCAAAGGAGUAUUGGCUUUAAGGAUGAAUUAAUUUUUAAAAUAAAAUGAGAACGUGGAGACAUAGUCUUUAAAAAUUAUUUGUUUUGGCAUCUGUAAAUAGUACUGAGGUCUAUGGAUCUCAAUCAAGUACAAGGAGAUUGCAGUGGCUGAAAUUUUUAUGUUAUUUCAUAAAGGAACAAAUGUUGCUAUAAAAGCAGAAUAUAGAAUCAUUCCACAGUCAUUCCUAGCUUUUUUUGUUGUUAUUAGUUUUUUAUUUUAGUUGUAUUUAAUCUUCACCUAAGUGUUAUCCAUGAAGUCUCUAUUUUUUUAUCAUGCUAAUGUUUGAUUGCACAAUAGGCAUAUUUUCCUUGUUAUUUCAUGAUCGUAUUUUUCAAUAUAAAUGACAUCUGCCCAUUCUUUUAUUUUCUCAAUACUAGUUUAAAUUCAAGCUCUGAAAAAGAAGAUGGAGAACUAGAACAAGUUAGCACUUCCUCCUCCUGUUCAUACAGGGUUUUUCUGUACUGCUUAUAUUGCCUAAUUAGUUUUAUGUGGAGAAGACUUGCCUCCACACAUAUGUACUGCUAGUAUUUUAUCCAAGAAUAAAAAAGAAAAACAAAAUAACCUAUGAACUUCACUGCAUACUUGAUAAGGCAGAAAGCUUAUUCAAGGAAUAAGAUCAGCAUUUUCCUGCUGGAAAGCUGCCACAUCUGCUUUGUGAGUAGGGACAGCUGUAAGUAAGUAAUUCAAGAAUAUGGGAAGACUGUAACUAAAGCCGUCUUGAGGAAUUACUCUGCUCUGUCUUGGAAGAGACUCGUAGCUGUUGGCUGCCACCAACCUGCUAAGAAGCUACAAGGAAUAAAACAACAUUUAGGCUUUGGUCUGAAAUUGGAGCAGUUCCACAUCACCCUAAGUGGAUGAGUGGGUUGACCCACUUCUCGGCUGCAUGUGACUGUGAACUCUUAAGUGAACAACAAAAUUCUGAAUAAAAGCUUAUCUGAUAGGUGCGAAUUAUUCGUGCUGCACCCUGGUCCUGUGGGAUCUUUCUGUGCUCUGUUCGGUGUGGUGCUACGGCCGCACUUGUCUGACCCUUCUGUGGUGCAAGACCCCAGCUGCUCGGCUUGCCCAGUCAUCCCUGCCUGGCUCUGGGUGUCACACCAGCUCUGACACGUUUCCUGCGUGGAAUUCAGCCCCACUCAUGCCAUCCAGCCUUACACAUCACCGAAGAGCUUAGGUUUUGUGCUGGCUCUUUUCCCAGACACGAGCCUCACUUGUGGAUGAUACAUAUCAUGAAUUCCUGGACAUACAAAGGAAAAUAAUUACUCAGGUUGCACUUUUCAGGAUCUGCCUGUUUGCAGACAAUAUUUUUACUUUAAUUUAGAAAUCCGAAUUACAGCACAGAGAGCUUAUGGAGUUUGGUCUCUCAUCCUGAGAUCUUGAGUCCAUUAACCAACUUGCAUUAUACAUUUAGAUAUUUAACUAUUUUAAAUUAUUUCAAUAUUAAUUUUUCAAAUUGCCCAGGCUGACUAAGGAGGAAUGACUAAUAUACCAUAAUAGACUAAUCACGUGGAUGUCCUUUCCAGGCACCCAGAUUGGAAAGUAAGAUUCUGCAGAAAUAAAUGGUGUGUUCCUCAGUGAUUUCAAAAGUAUUUCACUCCUUUUUUCUGCAUAGCGUGAAAGUCUUUUGCAGCAAGAUUGUAUAAUCCAGUCUUUCUACUGUUCCUUUUAUUUUGAAGCCUGAUGCAGCAUCACUGAAAUAAAUAAGAAUGAACUUGAGAAUGAGACACUACUUUGAGACAUUUACUAUAAAAACUGAAGUCCUUGACAUUUUAUUUCAGAAAGAUCAGCAUGGAAAUGUAUAACAUUUUAAAGGAUACUCUUCUGUCUCUGAACUUAAGGCAGUUACUUUUUUUUUUUUCAGCUUGUGGUUUAGAAAAUUGCUGUCUUGGUGUAUAAAAAUUAAUAGCUGUUGUUCCCGUUGAUCGUAAUUAGCUAAUCACUUCAUUUUUUUGGUAUUUAAAUUAAUCUAGCCUUAAACUAGAACUGUUUUGUUUUCUUUAGGCUUUUCUACUAGAAUGGCAUCGUCUUCCUUUUGUGAUAAAUGUUUGGAAAGAUACUUUCAGGCUCCCAGUCCUCAAUCCCACUUUUGGGAGCUGAGCGCCAUUCGCACACAAGUUAAACCAGACAAAGUGGGGGCAGUAAAGCACGCUUGUGGUGCAGACCUGCUGCCUUCCCGUUUGUGAAAUGCAUUCAUUUAUGAAUGAGUAACGUGGCUGCUGCACACUUGGAAAAGUAACAUGAGGAAAGUAUUUAAUGUGUUUUAUCCCUUCAUGUGACCCAGUCAUAGGAAAAGGGACAGCCUGACCCUUGUGACUUGACAGCUCUCAGUAGUUCACCAGUAGUUUGAGAAUAUGUAGUAGCUGUGGGAGGCUGCUGUAUAUGUGUGAUGGUUUGGGAACUGUGGCAGCUUUGUUCUUAGCAGUGAUGAUCCUCUCUCCCGUUCUCUGUAAAGUUCACUUAGGUUAUUUUCAUGUUAUUUUUCUUUUAAAAAGCACAGGACAUGUUUUACCCAAUUACACAAGAUUUAUAAGGAUAGGUUUCUGGAAAAAAUAUGUCUAUGUGUUUGUUUCAUUUUAGGCAUUGUAACUGGCCCUCUGAUUUCAAAGAGAGAAAUAUUGUGUCCAGUUCUGGGCCCCUCAGUUCCAGAAGGACAGGGAACUGCUGGAGAGGGUCCAGCGCAGGGCAACAAAGAUGACUGAUGGAGUGGAGCAUCUCCCCUAUGAGGAAAGGCUGAGGGAGCUGGGGCUCUUUAGCCUGGAGAAGAGGAGACUGAGGGGUGACCUCAUUGAUGUUUACAGAUAUAUAAAGGGGCAGCCCAUCUCGUCUUCAUACCUUGUGACAUGGAAGGUGGCUGAGGAGAACACGGGCCGUGUACAUACUCUGUUCUGCUGCCAGUCAAUAUUCCAGUUCAGGACAUCUAACCUCGUUUCACUUGGAAGCUAAUACAGUUGCCUCCAGGAAUGGAGCAUGCUGGAAUGUUAAAUCAAGAAAUGUGUCACAAAUGGUUCAUGUGCCACUAGGUUCAGAAGCAUCAGCUGCAAGAGUGGCCUGUGAUACUGAAGGCAGCAGAAAGAGAUGAAAGAAUUCCGAACUAAAAUGCAGUCAAUAUUUCCAGCAAUUCCUAAAAAUAAUGAGUCCACUGUUGAAUGGGAAGACUUACUUAAAUCUAAGUGAAAAUCUCAGCUCCAUUUGGAGAUGUCUCAGCAAGAACAGGAGCAGAUGUAGCAGAAGUGACCCAUCUGAACAACAGAGAAGAAAACUCAGACUGAGCAAGUUCCUGACUGAGUUCAUUGAACCUGGGGAGGCCAGUUAACAAGGGAUUUAAAAGCAAAACGAAAGAAAAAUUAUAUUGUACUUUUCAGCGUGCUUGGUAUAGUUGAUUUGUGAGCAGGUGAACUGUCUUGGGAUAAGUUGGAUCCAACUUGAAAAAAGACUCUCUCUUAUGAAGACUUAGAGAAGAAACUGAUCUUCAGUAGUAAAUAUAAGGACAAAACCCUAAUAAGCUCUUAUCCCAUCCUGAUUUUUAAGAGGAAUUUUAGGAAAUGUCUCUAGGAAACAAAGAAAGAGUACUUUCAGUGACAUUCAUAUGUCCCAUUAGGAAUAUAACCGAGUCAAUUAUGACAGUUCUAUUACUGAGCCUGAAGGUAUGGCCUGCAGUGCAUUCUUCUAAAAAUAAAGGAGAUCUAUUUAAAUUUUCAGCAUAGAAAAUAUAUGAACCAAACUACUUUUGUGUGUUUGAAGGGAAAGUUUGAAACACCCCAUAUGCCAAUAGUGACCUACUCAGCUCCUCUGCAAAGCAUCAGAAGAAAUCUCUACAAAGUGCACUGUUUGUUCAGUAUUAGCUUUUUAAAUUGGAUCCCACAAUAGUGAAUCUGAUCGUUUGCAUAAAAGUGUCUACUAGAUUUAUAUAGCAAUUUAAGUUGUAACUGAAAAGAAGUAUAAAAUAGUGAGACACCCAGUCUGUCCUACACAAAUAUUUUGAGCUAAGGAACUGUAUGGGCAGGGUUAGUUUUUUGUAUUUCCGUGGUUCCUGUGGCUCUGCUACCAGGAGAAGCAAUGUGACAUUUUCCACACUGCAGCAAUCUCAUGAAGUGUGGGUGUAAACUAGAAAGAAUAAUGUCUUACUCAAAUACUGUAUUUGCAGAACUGUAGAGCUGUAAAAAUGCAGCAAUUUAAAAAUAAUGCUAUCAGUGAGCAAUCCUUGGUUGAAUGCUGAGUUAUCAGGUUUUUUUAUUAAUUGCACACAGUCCAAUUAGUCAGUUGUCAGAUUUAAUAAAAUCUUCUUAAAACCUGUCUUUUGUGAUUAAGUCUUUAUAUUCAUAGGAAAGAACAUUUUAAAAAGCUUUAAAUGUCAGAUGAAUAAUACAGAAGUUUGGUUUUCCUUUGAAACAUGACAGCACUAAAAUAAUCUGUAAAGAAAUUGAAGUGUAAUAGUUGACAUAUUUUUCUUAGCUCGAUGCUUGUAAUCCAAUAUUAAAUAAAUUGUGGUGAAUACUGCCAUCAUAUGCA